rnacentral:rRNA from 1 species
UUUUAGUGGCGGACGGGUGAGUAACGCGUGGGUAACCUGCCUCACACUGGGGGAUAACACUUAGAAAUAGGUGCUAAUACCGCAUAAGCGCACGGGACUGCAUGGUCUUGUGUGAAAAACUCCGGUGGUGUGAGAUGGACCCCGCGUCUGAUUAGCUGGUUGGCGGGGUAACGGCCCACCAAGGGCGACGAUCAGUAGCCGGCCUGAGAGGGGUGGACGGCCACAUUGGGACUGAGACACGGCCCAAACUCCUACGGAAGGCAGCAG